UUUCUGGAGUCCUGGGAAGGUGUCUGCCUGGCCGCGCUGCCAGAUCAGUACAUCUUUUGUAAAAACCCUGAAAUGGGCAGGGAAGAAAACAGGGAUUUCCCCUCUCUAGAUCCCUGCCAGGUCCCUCUCCAGGAGGCCCCUCUGCUCUCCUGAAGGGUGGUCCCUGAGGGUCUGCCCAGCCUUGGCACGAGAGGUUGGUUCCAGCCCCUGGCAGGGCUUCCUUCCAAGGGCCCCUGCAGCCUACAAACUGGGCCUCGGGCGACUCAAAAUAAGUGCUCUUGGGGGUGGCUCUACCCCAUUACCUCCCCCAGCCACAACUCCUGGCCUUCGACUUCUGGCUGGGUUAGCCAGACCCUGGUUUCUCUACCCUGAUGUUGCAUGAGACCUGGUAACAGUGUCUCCCUCCCAGCUCCUUGCCAAAGCCUCUGUUGAGACCUGGGCUUCUUGUAGCCCCUUCUCCCUCUGGCCAGCUGCACAGCCUGUGGGAGGUGCCCGGCCCAGGCUGGGUGUGGGGGAAGCUGGUCCCUGCUGUGGGUGGCGCUGGGGACCUAGGGGCUCCUUCUGAGGUUGGCCUUGUGGCCUCUGGGCUGUAUGCCUCUGGGGUGUAGGGAAGAGGCGGGAGGAGUCAUGGGGAUGGGGAGCGGCAGGGGGAGAGAGGGGCCCUCGACAAAGGCUUGGGAAAUGAGGGGAGGUGGAGGCAGGGCAGGGGAAGCGAAGAGUCAGCCUUGGAGAGAGCACCCUGGGGCCUCCGUGUCGGGGUACACCCAGCACUUUGCGACCUGCGGCCCAGCAGGCGCGGAGGAUGGCGGGGAGGAAGCCAGCAGCCCCUGUGUUUACUGUCGUCAGAAAGGUCUUGUGUUUUGGUUUUGGGGUUUUUGUUUUGUUUGUGUUUUGUUUGGCUUGUUUGUUUUUUAAGGGGAAAAAAGUUUGUAAUUAUUUCAUCCAAAUCUCCCGUUAUAUAUCUGUGAAUAAUAAGAGAUUUUAUAAUAGCAAGAAAAUGAUGUAUAUUUUAGUUUGUUGACAAAUAAGUCAUCAUGAUCACGAAGGACACUGAGAAAAAAUAAUUUAGAACCCUGGUUUUUGUGAAUUUUUUUGUUUUGUGUUUCUUUGUUUUGAGAUUUGUGUUUGGUUUGGUUUUUGCACUGCACUAAGGCAGGAGGGUUGGAGGGCUGGGUGCAGCCUGGGAGUCCGAUGGUUUUCAGCAGGAGACGGGGUGUCCCCUGCAGGGGGCUAAACUGCAGGGGCCUGAGAUUAGCUGUGAACAUGUGGGAGCCCGAUGCAUGUGGGUCAGGGAUCUGGGGGCCCCCCCAGCUGGCGGGAACCCCAAAUGGACACAAACUGUACAUUUGCCAAUGGGUUUUUUUCAGACCAUGGUUUUUACUUGCAAAUAAACCUGAGUUCUUUUCUGC
rnacentral:lncRNA from 1 species